UACGUAGGGUGCGAGCGUUUGUCCGGAAUUAUUGGGCGUAAAGAGCUCGUAGGCGGUGUGUCACGUCGGCCGUGAAAACCUGCAGCUUAACUGUGGGCGUGCGGUCGAUACGGGCAUCACUGGAGGUUCGGCAGGGGGAGACUGGGAAUUCCUGGAUGUAGCGGUGAAAUGCGCAGAUAUCAGGAGGAACACCGGUGGCGAAGGCGGGUCUCUGGGCCGA
rnacentral:rRNA from 1 species